GGUCUCACUCUGUCACUCAGAUUGGAAUGCAGUGGUGUAAUCAUGGCUCAUUGCAGUGUCGAACUCCUGAGCUCAAGCAUUCCUCCUACCUCAGCCUCCCAAAGUGCUGGGAUUACAGGCAUGAGCCACUGCGCCCAGCUCAUUGAUAUUUAUUGAAUGCCUCCUAUUUGUCUGGCCCUGGGGAUGGUGGAGCGAAGAAGAAAAACUGAAUCUUGGCUCUCAUGGAGAGGAUGGGGGAGAGCGUUAGCACCAGCAACAGUGACCUCACACAGUGAGGGCACUGGGAAGGAAAUAAAAGAGGCAACACAGAGUGAUAGUGACACAGGAGAGUGGACUGGAAAGGCCGUCCUGAGGAGGAGACAUUUGGCUCAGCCGUGAAUGGCACCUGAGUCCCGGAGCUCUGGUGGUUUUGCCCAGGGCCAGCCAGGAGACACAGUGUGGUAGUGUGCUCCUCAAGGCAUCUGUGACCUGCUCUCCUCAGCUCAGAGAAAGCCAGCGUGGCGUUUGAGGGAACAACCUCAGCUCCAAAGGGAACGCUGACAAAGGGGGCAGUCCAGCCCUGGGCAGGGUCAGACCCCAGCACCCACAAACACCAGGCAGGCCCAGGCUAGGAUCACAGGAGCGGGAGUAGGAGUGAUGGAGUAACAGCUCGUCUCCACGCUCCCAGCAUUCAUUCCCUCAUCCUCUGGUAGGUAAGCACCCAACUUUUCUUUGGGGAUGGGCUCCUCUCCUACUCUCAGUCCAUGCAGUUGAAUGGAGUCUACGAUGAGCUCAGGACCUCCCCACGGAGGCCAUUAUUCGUUCUCCUUUCUUUCUUUACAAUGAUUGGUUCAGAGCUGAGCACAUGACCUGGGCCUGGCCAAUCAACAAAUAAUAUCCCAUUUCCUUUCUUUCUCUACAGUGAUUGGUUCAGAACUGACCACAUGACCCAGGCCAACUAGUAUCUAGCUCUCUAACUGCCUUGGGCCAUCAAAACUCCCAAAUCAAAUAUUGUUGACCUGGCUUGUGUCAAGUGCCCAUCACUGAAUUAGUCACUAUGGCCAGGAGCAGAUGGGCCCUCACUAGACAGAACUGGUCUGUGGCCGCCCAUGGUGCCCGGGGUGAGGGCAGCUCCACCUGAACACAGAGAGUGGCAAAGGCAAAGUUUCCUGACAUAGACGUUCCUGUUCCAUUUGUCCCGCAAACGUUUAAACAUCACACAUACUUGGUUAAGGUAGGAAAUAAAAAACAGCCUUUGUUCAUUCUCUCUCUCUCUUUUUUUUUUUUUUUUUUUUUUUUUUUUGAGAUGGAAUUUAACGCUUGUCGCCCAGGCUAAAGUGCAGUGGUUCGAUCUCGGCUCACUGCAACCUCCGCCUCACGGAUUCAAGCCAUUCUCCUGCCUCAGCCUCCCGAGUAACUGGGAUUACAGACGUGUGCCACCACGCCUGGCUAAUUUUUUGUAUUUUUUUAAGUAGAGACGGGGUUUCACUAUGUUGGACAGGCUGGUUUUGAACUCCUGGCCUCAAGCAAUCCACUCGCCUUGGUUUCCCAAAGUGCUAGGAUUACAGGCGUGAGCCACCACGCCUGGGCUGUUCACCGUCUCAUAGAGACAUUCACCAUUGCUACUGAGUGUGGAUAAAACUAUGGACACCAGGGUUCAAUUUCUAGCUAUUCUACUCUGGCUGUUUGCCCUUGGAAGUUAUUUAGCAUUCCGUGCCUCUGUUUGCUCAUCUGGAAAAUGCAGAAAACAUUCGUAUCUGCCUCACUCGUUUAAAAGAAUCAACGUUCUUAGGACAGUACCUGGCAAGAGUAACUGCUGUUGGUUUGGUUUGAGAUUCUGAGAACCACUCUUCUGGAUCAUUCGCACAUGCUGUAGUUUGAGUGGAAGUCAUUAGAGGAGUAUCGCUAAUAGAUAAUAGAAAAUUGUUUCAAUGGCCCCUUCAGAACUAAAGGGUCUCUCUCUUUCCCAAUGUCUGUGUUAAUUCCUAUAAAAAGACUCAGACCCGACAUGGCUUCCAGCCCUUCUGGACCCCUCCUCAGUCUUGUGGGACUGAUGGGUUCAGCACUCACAUGCCCCACCCUGACUGUAAGAGCAUGGGCCUUGUAAUCUGUAAGAGCCCAGGCUCAAGACAUCCCAAAAGACUCCUGUCUUGCUCUGAGUCUGUGCUGCUGGGAGGUGAGCGGAAUGCAGUGACAUGGAAAAGAAAUGAAUGGAGCAGAGGGGAAGUGGAAGAGAGGAGUGAGAGGAGCUUGAGUUGAAGUGGGAGGGAUGGGGGUGGCCAACAGGGGGAGAGAGGAGGGAGAUGGGAUGGGAUAGGAUGAAGGGAGGAAGAGAGAAGUGGUGAAGUGGGGUAAGAUGGGACUUAUCUCCUGACCAAGCACACGUCUACCCCUGACAUAGUCAUCUAAACAUGGAAUCAGGGGAUGAUGAUUUGGGGAGGGGACUUCAAGGUUGUCCUCCUUAGUAAGAUCAACAAGAGGGAAGAGAACAGCCACUGUACAGGUAGGUGCAAGUAUGGAUCCCUCUGAGUGUACCUUUUGGUGCUUACCUACUCAAAGCUCACCAAGCCCUGUGCUUCCCUCUUCCUCAACCUGCAGAGCAUCUCCCAGAACCCAGCCAUGCCCUUAAACAUUCCACGAAGACCUUAGUGAAGCACUAUGACUUUCAAGCUUUGUUUUCAUCCAGUCAUUAGUGGCAGAGGCCACCAGGCUCCCACAGUGAGCCUUCAUCAGUGGGAGUCAAAUCCCAGGCAUCAGGUGAGGACACUGGUGAUUAGGUGACUUCCUCCUGUCCCACAGCCAGUGUCAGAACCUUGUUGAAAAUCUACAUAUUCAGAUUCCCAAUUUAAAUCAUGUUGGAGAUGGGCUGACAACUGAAGUGGGAAAUAGACUCCAAGAAAAAAAAAAAGAAGUCUGUAAAUCAGUGCCUUGCUACUCCUCAGCCCAGGGGAGCUACUCCCACGUCAGGACAUGCCCUCCCUUUCCCUCUCCCCAGACAGAGCUCAGGGCACCCCACAGAGGGUCUCUGAAGAGGGAAUGCCAGAUUGGAAUCCUCAAAUAUCUGGGGAGCUGGCCAGGUCUUGGCAUUCCAGGGUCAUAGAUUCACUAAUGACUCCCGUUGUUGAGCAGAGCUUGGACUGGUGGGCAGAGUGCUAGGAGGCAUAAUAGCAAGCAAGGUGGGCCAGGCGUGGUGGCUCAAGCUUGUAAUCCCAGCACUUUGAGAGGCCAAGGCAAGUGGAUCACCUGAGGUCAGGAGUUCAAGACAACCCUGGCCAACAUGGUGAAUCCCAACUCUACUAAAAAUACAAAAGUUAGCCAGAUGUGGUGGCAUGCACCUGUAGUCCCAGCUAGUCAGAAGGCUGGGAAAUACCAAGCGAUUCAAGAGAAUCGCUUGAACCCAGGAGGCAGAGAUAUACCUAAGAAGUCCAGAAGUGGAUGCUUUGGAUAUAAAUACAGGUAGGUGAUAUAGAAAAAAGACCCAGACAAGGAGAUGUCGAUGCUCAUGUUUCAUCAUCAGAUUUCUGCCUCUCUUCCUCCAUCUGCGGCCUCUGAUUUUCUGUGUUUAAUUUAUUCUCAGGCACACUACUUCUACGUGGUGGGGAAAAUGGCACUUGGAAAAUUCAGUUUCAAUGGUCCUUUCAGAGCUACAGCAUCUGUCUCUCAAUGUCUAUGUUAAUUCCUCUAAAAGGACUCAGACCUGAUGUGGCUCCCAGCCUUCUUGGACCCCUCCUAUCUGUGGUACUGAUGGGUACAGAACUCACACACCCUACCCUGGGUGUGAGUAAGAGCAUGGGCCUUGUAAUCUUGGCUUGUUUGGAAAGAGGAAGGGGAAAUUCCAGAAGUGAAGGUCAUAACAGUUUUCUGUCAGAUGGGGUGGUGGCUCAAAGCAGAGGUUAUGAGCCUGAGUAUGUAGCUCCAUCACCCAGUGUGAACUUGGGCAAGUCCUUACCUUUUCCCCUCUGCAUCCUCUCCAUCCACUUCCCUCACUGACAUUCCAAAACACACACACACACAUACACACACACACACACACACACACAUUUUUAUUUUAAGACAAUUGUUGAUUCACAUGCAGUUUUAAGAAAUGCUAGAGAUCACAGACCAGGCACAGUGGCUCAUGCCUGUAAUCCAGGCACUUUGGGAGGUCGAGGCAGGUGGAUCACUUGAGGUCAGGAGUUCGAGACUAGCCUGGCCAAUGUGGCGAAACCCCAUCUCUACUAAAAAUACAAAAAUUAGCUGGGAGUGUUGGCAUGCACCUGUAAUCCCAGCUACUCAAGUGGCUGAGGCAGAAGAAUUGCUUGAACAUGGGAAGCGGAGGUUACAGUGAGCCGAGAUCGCACCACUGCACUCCGGACUGGGCAACAGAGUGAGACUCUGUCAAAGAAUGAAAGAAAGAAAAAGUAAUAAUAGAGAUCACAGAGCACUUUACUCAACUUUCCCCAUAGUAACAUCUUGCAUACAUGUAGUACAAUAUCACAACCAGGAAAUUGACAUUGAUACCAUCCACCAAUCUUAGAUUUUGCCAGCUUUACAUGCACUCAUGUGAGCUUGUUUGUGUGUUUAGUUCUAUGUAGUUUCAUCAUGUGCACAGAUUUGUGUGGCCACCGCCACAGUCAAGAUCUACCACCAAGAGGUCUGUUGUGCUGUCCUUUUAUUGCAACAUCUACCUGCCUCCCUCCCCUACUCUCUGAUCUGCAGCGAUCAUUAAUCUGGUCUUCAUUUAUAAUUUUGUAAUUUCAAGAAUGCUAUAGAAAUGGAAUCAUACAGUAGGUAACCUUUCAGGCCUGGCUUUUUCUUUCACUCAGCAUAAUUCCCUUGAGAUCCAUCCAAAUGGUUGCAUGUAUCAAUAGCUUGUUCCUUUUUAUUGCUGACUAGUAAUUCAUAGUAUGGAUGUUCCACUGUUUAACUGUUUGCUUUUUGAAGGACAUUUGGAUUGUUUCCAAUUAUUGGCUGUUAUGAAUAAAGCUGCUAUGAACGUUCAUGUACAGGCUUUCGUGUGAAUGUAAGUUUUC
rnacentral:lncRNA from 10 species